UGGGUGUGCAACGUAUGGGAUAUGGAG
rnacentral:piRNA from 1 species